AACCCUGAAGUCUUCAACGCCCAAACGUGAAACGGCUGUUACUCUCUAUCUUCUCAAAAACUUCUCAAUCCUAAAGUUCUUCUCAAGAACUUCUCAAUCCUACGAUAUUAGAUUUUCGAGCUUGCAUCUUUGAAUCUUUUCGAGCUGGUGAAGCGAGUGGAACUGCUUAAAUUGUUCAAAGUACCAUAACAGAGUUGAAAAUCAGUGCAGAUCUAUUGAGUGAUAAUGCAAAUGAUGAUUUUUUAGAAGAUUUAAUAGAUGCACGUGAAGAAUUUUGAAGAAUGAAGACUGCUGGCUGCUGCUCCCUAUAUAAUUGUAUUAGUGGUUCUUCUAACUUGGUUUAUUAGACUGUUUUUACUGAAUUAUUAAUGUAUGGAGGUCGGAAUGUAUGGAACUUCUUUUCUUUUUGUAUUUCGUUAUGCUUGGAGGAUGGAAUGAUGAUUGUUGAAUUAUGAUGCAAACUGGUUUU